rnacentral:rRNA from 1 species
UACGUAGGGGGCUAGCGUUGUCCGGAUUUAUUGGGCGUAAAGAGCGUGUAGGCGGCCAGGUAGGUCUGCUGUGAAAACUCGAGGCUCAACCUCGAGACGUCGGCGGAAACCAUCUGGCUAGAGUCCGGAAGGGGAGAGUGGAAUUCCUGGUGUAGCGGUGAAAUGCGCAGAUAUACAGGGAAGAACACCCGUGGCGAAGGCGGCUCUCUGGGACGGUACUGACGCUGAGACGCGAAAGCGUGGGGAGCGAACAGG